GGUAUGUAAAGCUCUAUCAGCAGGGAAGAUAAUGACGGUACUUGACUAAGAAGCACCGGCUAAAUACGUGCCAGCAGCCGCGGUAAUACGUAUGGUGCAAGCGUUAUCCGGAUUUACUGGGUGUAAAGGGAGCGCAGGCGGUGCGGCAAGUCUGAUGUGAAAGCCCGGGGCUCAACCCCGGUACUGCAUUGGAAACUGUCGUACUAGAGUGUCGGAGGGGUAAGCGGAAUUCCUAGUGUAGCGGUGAAAUGCGUAGAUAUUAGGAGGAACACCAGUGGCGAAGGCGGCUUACUGGACGAUAACUGACGCUGAGGCUCGAAAGCGUGGGGAGCAAACAGGAUUAGAUACCCUGGUAGUCCACGCCGUAAA
rnacentral:rRNA from 1 species